rnacentral:ncRNA from 1 species
AGGAAGUAUUAUUUAUUAAAACAUUAAUUUAUAUGUAAAUUUGUGUAUUAGGAAUUUUCUUAAAGGGGAUUAUUAAUUAAGUAUUAUUGCAGUAAAUUAAAUUAUUGAUAUUAAGUUAUUUUAGAUUUAGUAAAUGUUAUAAGGUUAGGUAAAAACUGUGCCAGCAACUGCGGUUAUACAGUGUAAUCAAGUGAAUAUUAUUAGUUUUUAAGUAGUUAACAUUAUAUUAAAAUUAUGUAAAUAUGAAAAAAUUAAGGUGAAAUUUAUUUUUUUGAGUGACAUAUUUAUAUGGUGUGAUAAGUUAUUAAAUUGAAAUUAUAAACUAGGAUUAGAUACCCUAUUAUUUUUAUUGUAAAAGAAAUUAAACUAGAGUAUUAUUAGUUAUGAUCUUUAAACUUAAAGAAUUUGGCGGUAUUAUAGUCUAUUUAGAGGAAUCUGUUAUGUAAUCGAUAGUCCACGUUGAACCUUACUUAUAUUAUUUCUUGUAUACCGCUGUUUAGAUUACACUUUUAGGUGUUAUUUCUUAAUAUAUAAUUUGUUAAAAUUUCAAGUCAAGGUGCAGUUAAUAUUUAAGUUGAGUAAUGGAUUACAAUAAAUUUUAUUUAUUAUGGAUUAUUAUUUAAAAGUGAUUUGAAGGUGGAUUUAAUAGUAAUUUUAUAGAGAUUAUUAUAAUGAUUAAGGCUCUAUAAUGUGUACACAUCGCCCGUCACUCUCGUUAAUAAGAUGAGAUAAGUCGUAACAAAGUAGGUGUAUCGGAAGAUGUACCUAGAAAGUAAAA